GAUGAACGUUGGCGACGUGCCUAACACAUGCAAGUCGAGCGGAGAAGACGAGAGUGUACUUUUCGGAGUGAACUCUUUUCGGAGCAGCGGCGGACGGGUGAGUAAUACAUGAGUAACCUGCACUCUACAAAGGGAUAGCCGAGGGAAACCGCGAUUAAUACCCUCUGAGACCACGAAAGCGAAUGUCUUUGGGUUUAGAGAUUUAUCGGUAGAAGAUGGGCUCAUGACCCAUUAGCUAGUUGGUGAUUUAACAGACCACCAAGGCGACGAUGGGUAGCCGGCGAGAGAGAGUGGACGGCCAGAUUGGAACAGAGACACGGUCCAGACUCGUACGGGAGGAAGCAGUGGGGAAUAAUGCAGAAUGGAGGAAACCCUGAUGAAGCGACGUCGCGUGAGCGAAGAAGGCGUUCGGGACGUAAAGCUCUGUCCUAUGGGAAGAAAAGGACGGUACAAGAGAAGGAAGCCACGGCUAACUACGUG
rnacentral:rRNA from 1 species